rnacentral:rRNA from 1 species
AGAGUUUGAUCAUGGCUCAGAUUGAACGCUGGCGGCAGGCCUAACACAUGCAAGUCGAGCGGUAGCACAGAGAGCUUGCUCUCGGGUGACGAGCGGCGGACGGGUGAGUAAUGUCUGGGAAACUGCCUGAUGGAGGGGGAUAACUACUGGAAACGGUAGCUAAUACCGCAUAAUGUCGCAAGACCAAAGUGGGGGACCUUCGGGCCUCAUGCCAUCAGAUGUGCCCAGAUGGGAUUAGCUUGUAGGUGGGGUAACGGCUCACCUAGGCGACGAUCCCUAGCUGGUCUGAGAGGAUGACCAGCCACACUGGAACUGAGACACGGUCCAGACUCCUACGGGAGGCAGCAGUGGGGAAUAUUGCACAAUGGGCGCAAGCCUGAUGCAGCCAUGCCGCGUGUGUGAAGAAGGCCUUCGGGUUGUAAAGCACUUUCAGCGGGGAGGAAGGCGGUGAGGUUAAUAACCUCAUCGAUUGACGUUACCCGCAGAAGAAGCACCGGCUAACUCCGUGCCAGCAGCCGCGGUAAUACGGAGGGUGCAAGCGUUAAUCGGAAUUACUGGGCGUAAAGCGCACGCAGGCGGUCUGUCAAGUCGGAUGUGAAAUCCCCGGGCUUAACCUGGGAACUGCAUUCGAAACUGGCAGGCUAGAGUCUUGUAGAGGGGGGUAGAAUUCCAGGUGUAGCGGUGAAAUGCGUAGAGAUCUGGAGGAAUACCGGUGGCGAAGGCGGCCCCCUGGACAAAGACUGACGCUCAGGUGCGAAAGCGUGGGGAGCAAACAGGAUUAGAUACCCUGGUAGUCCACGCCGUAAACGAUGUCGAUUUGGAGGUUGUGCCCUUGAGGCGUGGCUUCCGGAGCUAACGCGUUAAAUCGACCGCCUGGGGAGUACGGCCGCAAGGUUAAAACUCAAAUGAAUUGACGGGGGCCCGCACAAGCGGUGGAGCAUGUGGUUUAAUUCGAUGCAACGCGAAGAACCUUACCUGGUCUUGACAUCCACAGAACUUUCCAGAGAUGGAUUGGUGCCUUCGGGAACUGUGAGACAGGUGCUGCAUGGCUGUCGUCAGCUCGUGUUGUGAAAUGUUGGGUUAAGUCCCGCAACGAGCGCAACCCUUAUCCUUUGUUGCCAGCGGUCCGGCCGGGAACUCAAAGGAGACUGCCAGUGAUAAACUGGAGGAAGGUGGGGAUGACGUCAAGUCAUCAUGGCCCUUACGACCAGGGCUACACACGUGCUACAAUGGCAUAUACAAAGAGAAGCGACCUCGCGAGAGCAAGCGGACCUCAUAAAGUAUGUCGUAGUCCGGAUUGGAGUCUGCAACUCGACUCCAUGAAGUCGGAAUCGCUAGUAAUCGUAGAUCAGAAUGCUACGGUGAAUACGUUCCCGGGCCUUGUACACACCGCCCGUCACACCAUGGGAGUGGGUUGCAAAAGAAGUAGGUAGCUUAACCUUCGGGAGGGCGCUUACCACUUUGUGAUUCAUGACUGGGGUGAAGUCGUAACAAGGUAACCGUAGGGGAACCUGCGGUUG